AUACGGAGGGAGCGAGCGUUAUUCGGAAUCACUGGGCGUAAAGGACGCGUAGGCGGGUUUGUAAGUCAGGUGUGAAAUCCUACAGCUCAACUGUAGAACUGCACUUGAAACUACAGACCUAGAGUAUAGAAGGGGCAGAUGGAAUUAGUGGUGUAGGGGUAAAAUCCGUAGAUAUCACUAGGAAUACCGAAAGCGAAGGCGAUCUGCUGGGACAUUACUGACGCUGAGGCGUGAAAGCGUGGGGAGCAAACAGGAUUAGAAACCCUAGUAGUCC
rnacentral:rRNA from 1 species